rnacentral:rRNA from 1 species
GGUUUAAUUCGAAGCAACGCGAAGAACCUUUACCAGGUCUUGACAUCCGAUGCUAUUUCUAGAGAUAGAAAGUUACCUUCGGGUACAUCGGUGACAGGUGGUGCAUGGUUGUCGUCAGCUCGUGUCGUGAGAUGUUGGGUUAAGUCCCGCAACGAGCGCAACCCCUAUUGUUAGUUGCCAUCAUUCAGUUGGGCACUCUAGACGAGACUGCCGGUAAUAAACCGGAGGAAGGUGGGGAUGACGUCAAAUCAUCAUGCCCCUUAUGACCUGGGCUACACACGUGCUACAAUGGUUGGUACAACGAGUUGCGAGUCGGUGACGGCGAGCUAAUCUCUUAAAGCCAAUCUCAGUUCGGAUUGUAGGCUGCAACUCGCCUACAUGAAGUCGGAAUCGCUAGUAAUCGCGGAUCAGCACGCCGCGGUGAAUACGUUCCCGGGCCUU